rnacentral:rRNA from 1 species
GUGGGGGAAAAUUAAUAUGAAAAUUUAUUAAUAAAAAUAAUUUUAAUAAAAUAUGAUAAUGGGGGUUAAAGUAUUUUAUAAAAAAAAAAUUAUUUAAUUUAUAGUAAAUUAGUAUUGUGAAAGAAAUUUGAAAUAUUUGAAAUAAAAAUUAUAAAAAAAGUAAAUUUUAAUUAUUGUAUCUUGUGUAUCAGAGUUUAUUAAUUUAAAAUUUUUAUAAAAAAAAAAAUUCUCGAAUUUAAAAGAGUUAAUUAAAUAAAAAAUUUAUUGUAGCAAAAAUAUUUUUUAUAUUUAAUUAGAAAUGAAACGUUAAUCGUUUUUAAAAAUAUCUAGUUUUUUUAGAAAAAAAUUUAAUUUUAAAUUAGUUUAAUUAAAAAUUUUAUUAAAAAAUUUUUUAAAUAAUUAAAUUUAAUAUUUUAAGGGAUAAGCUUUAAUUUAAAUUUUUAUAAGAAAUUUAAUUUUAUUUUGAAAAUUUUAAAAUUUAUAUUGUUUAAAAAUUAUAAUUUUUUAUAAAUAAUUUCAUUAAAAAUAAAAUUUAAUUAAUAUUUAAAUUUUUAUAAAAAAAUAAAAAUUAAUAAAAAAUUUUUAGUUAUAAUGAUAAAAUUAGUAUAUGUAAUAAAAUUAAUUAGAAUUAUAUCUAAAUAUAAAUGUAAAAUUAAUUAUAAGGAAUUCGGCAAAAUUUUAUAUUCACUUGUUUAUCAAAAACAUGUCUUUUUGAAAUAAUUUAAAGUCUAAUCUGCCCACUGAUGAAAAUUAAAGGGCUGCAGUAUUUUGACUGUACAAAGGUAGCAUAAUCAUUAGUCUCUUAAUUGGUGACUUGUAUGAAAGAUUGGAUGAGAUAUAAGCUGUCUUAUUAUUAUUUAUGGAAUUUAAUUUUUUAAUUAAAAAGUUAAAAUAUUUUUAAAAGACGAGAAGACCCUAUAGAGUUUUAUAUAAUUUAUUAAUUAUAAAUUUUUUUAUUAAUUUAAAAUUUAGAUCAAUAAGUAUAUUUUAUUGGGGUGAUAGAAAAAUAAAAUUAACUUUUUUUAAUUUAAUAUAUAUAUAUAAACAUUAAUAAGUGAAUAAAUGAUCCAUGAUUUAUGAUUAAAAGAUUAAAUUACCUUAGGGAUAACAGCGUAAUUUUUUUUUUUAGUUCAAAUAAAAAUAAAAGUUUGCGACCUCGAUGUUGGAUUAAGGUAAAAUUUAAAUGCAAAAGUUUAAAAUUUUGAUCUGUUCGAUCAUUAAAACCUUACAUGAUCUGAGUUCAAACCGGUGUAAGCCAGGUUGGUUUCUAUCUUUAGAAUAUAAAAAUAUUUUAGUACGAAAGGAUCAAAUAUUUAAAAUAAUUUUAUAAAAAGGAAUUUUAUUAAAAUUUAUUUAUAGG